GACGAACGCUGGCGGCGUGCUUAACACAUGCAAGUCGAACGGAAAGGCCCUGCUUUUGUGGGGUGCUCGAGUGGCGAACGGGUGAGUAACACGUGAGUAACCUGCCCUUGACUUUGGGAUAACUUCAGGAAACUGGGGCUAAUACCGGAUAGGAGUUCCUGCUGCAUGGUGGGGGUUGGAAAGUUUCGGCGGUUGGGGAUGGACUCGCGGCUUAUCAGCUUGUUGGUGGGGUAGUGGCUUACCAAGGCUUUGACGGGUAGCCGGCCUGAGAGGGUGACCGGCCACAUUGGGACUGAGAUACGGCCCAGACUCCUACGGGAGGCAGCAGUGGGGAAUAUUGCACAAUGGGCGGAAGCAUGAUGCAGCAACGCCGCGUGCGGGAUGACGGCCUUCGGGUUGUAAACCGCUUUCGCCUGUGACGAAGCGUGAGUGACGGUAAUGGGUAAAGAAGCACCGGCUAACUACGUG
rnacentral:rRNA from 1 species